ensembl:lncRNA
CCGGGCUCGGCCAUCACCUGCACACCUGCUUUACAUCCGGGGCGAUUACCCCACGUUGAUGGAUGCUCCAUGCCAGUCCGUUAAUCACCUCUCUGUGAUUACAAUCCAGCAUCCUGCAUCUGCCACCUGCCUGUCCUCCUGCUCGCCUGGACCACCCGGUGCAUCAGCUGGCCUUAUUCCUGACUCCGAUUCACUUUCCACGGACUCACUCACCCCCCUUCCGAGUCCCACGGUCCCUCUCCGAUCCCUCCCACGGUCCCGAUUCCAGCUUCCCUGCGUCAUUUAUUUCCCCGGGUUUUCUUCAGUUCCUCGCUUGCUUCUUUAAUUACUCCGGGUCACCUUUUGUUAAUAUAAUAAACCGUUUUU